GCUAUUCAGCGGUGGUGGUGAGACACAGCAGUUACUAGUUGCUGGUCGGUGCACACACGUGCUCCUUCUAAACCCCGAGAGAGAGAGAGAGAGUGGUGAUAUCUCCUCACCGUUUCCUGCCAUUUUCAUUGCAGUUUAUUUAAAUACUCUUUUCUCCUUUUUGAGUUUGCGAGGGUUGGACAGCAGAGACCCACAUUAGGAUCAGAAACCGUUGUUCUGAAAUGAUGCAAUUUGAAAUUGCCUGUAUGCAAGAGAGAGGGAGCAUGAAAGUUAAAAGACGUGUGUUCGUCCAAGCACAUGCGACACACACACCUACUGUACAUGCUUACAUACACACCCAUACAAUCAGGCCUGGAUGCAGCUCGACGUUGUCGAUACACUGAAUGGAUCACGUAAACAGAAACGGUUUCCAUACGAAGUAUAUUGUGUGUGCAAAGAAUAAUAAAAAACUUUAAUGAACAUAACAGAGACGAACGAGAUUUGUGAGUAAUAGCGUUGAAAUUGCACGAAAAGGAAAAGCACCUCUUUGUAACGAUUCCCAGAGCAAACUUUCUGCUGCAAGGCGGUUGGAAACUUUAGUGACGUAUUUGUGUAUAGGAGUGUUUGAUAACGAUUAACUCUAUAGUUAUCGGUACUUGAACUACGAGAGAAAAUCGAGAGAAUCUAAUAAACGAAAAGAACGUUUCAAGAAUAGAAGAAGAAGAAGGAGAAGGGAGAAGAAACUGGUGCGUGAAAAGUUUUUUCAUCCUUUUUUUUUUUUUUUUUUUGGUGGGCUGUUAUUUACCCGGAAUUCCAAAGCACCUGGCCUCCGUUCUCUUUGGGAAUCUGCCUCCUGAAGUUGCCUCCACGAAAAAUGACCCGCAAGAAGCUGCCUGAAGGAGAUCGGGCAUCCUGUUUCGUCCUGUCGUUCAUCGUAGGACUUUGGCUGUGCACCCUCGUGCAACAGGUCACUACGACCGGAGCGGAACACUUUAAGGCAAUGAAAGACGACUCUGUACACACGUAAACAGCCUGUUUCUCCGAAACUUCCGUCAGUUACUCACAAAUGUCUACUGGAAAUUCGUGAUCAAGUCCAACCUCUCUUUAACCUCUUCCAUGCAAUGUUUCUGGCCCAAAUAGUUUUCGUUGGGGAGUCAUCAAAGAAGAUAUUUAUUACCAUUGCACUUAAUAAAUAAAUCAGUCAAUCAAUAAACAUAUUUUAUGAGAGUUUUAAGGCCUCUUAACUACAUUGGUCAAGAGUGCCAGCCAAUGCCGCUCACCAACCACUAACGACCUUGACAGUAAAGACAUUAC